rnacentral:rRNA from 1 species
GUCUACGGCCAUGCCACCCUGAACAAGCCAGAUCCCAUCUGAUCUCGGAAGCUAGGCAGGGUCGGGCCUGGUUAGUACUUGGAUGGGAGAGCACCUAGGAAUCCCAGGUGCUGUAGACG